AAAGCUGUCCAGCUGCAUUGGAGGGAUUCCACACCCUGGAGGGACAUCCAAAGAUGUAGAAAAGUGAGUAUGAUAAGACCCAAUUUGUUGGGUUUUUUUUUUUUCUGUUUUUCUUUUUUCCCCUGUCAUCUGCUGAGCCCUUGGUGUUAUUGGCCUUGUUAGUCAGCUUUUCAUUACUCUGACAAACACUGAGAUAAAUCAAUUUAACAAGAGUAAAGGUUUAUUUUAGUUCAUGAUUUCAAAGGUUUCAGUCCGUGGUCAGUUGACCUUAUGGGUUUUUGUAGUACAUCGUGGCAGGAGUAAGUGGCAGAGGAAGCCUCUAAUGUUGCCAGUCCAGGAAGCAAAAAAGAAAGAAAAGAGAUGGGGUCACAGUAUUCCCUUCAGUAGAAUGCUCCUAGUGACCUCAGUGUUUUCCACUUAGUACCCCCACUUAGUGGUACCACCAUGUUAUGAUAGCACCUCAGUCUGGUGACAAGAUUGAAAUGGUGACAACACUUGGGCCUUGGGAGCACUUACCCAAACCAUAGCAUUGUCACUGUCCAUAAUGGCACCCACAGACCACCAUGAGAAGAAGACAGCACCUGCCAGAUCCCGCCAUUUUAAAAUAAUGACAAUUCCCAAUUUGUUGUGCAUAUUUUUAUUUAGUUUUAUAUGUUAUACAAACAGUGAGAAAAACAUUGCAACACAUAGUGGAAUAUUCAUGAGAUGCUGGUGAGAAAGAACCAACCCAGUGAGAAUGAGCCAAAGCCUGAGCUAAAACAUGUGUAUUGGAAGUUUUUAAGGCGGUGGAAUAGAGGUUGCUUUCCUGGCUGCUCUGUGAAGUGAAACCAAGAAAGCUGCUUUUUUUUUUUUUUUCUUGGUCACUAUUCCGUAAGAAUACACUUUGACCACCAUUACAAAGCAUUUGCAUCAUAAGUAAUGUGAGGACAACUUAAAGUAUGUGGAAGGAAGAUUGUAGAUGCUACAUGUAAAUUCUACACAAUUUUUUCAGGGAGUAGAGCAUCAGUGAUUUGGGUGUUCAAUGUGGGGGUUCUGCAACCAAUCCCCCUUGGAUAUUGAGGAGGUGUGACUGGAGUUGACUGAUUGCUAAAAUCCAGUGUCUUCUUGCUGCUCACUAUUGGGCACUAAAGAAUGGUGGCCAGGACCCUACGUGCUGACUGCAGGCAUUGAAGGGUGCCUAGGAGGGGUCCACGCAGGUCAGAAGUGAAGUGCAGCAGGGAGAAGCCUGGUUUAGCGUCCCCGUCCCCACUCCCUCUUACCCUCACUAUCCACAUCCAGACAAUCCUGGCAUCAGCCUCCUGGGGUAUCAGGCUCUGAUUUAAAUUAUUUUCUGUCUUAUUCUACUUUUGGUGUUGUUUUGUUCUUCUUUUUCUGAGGCUUUGAGAUGUAUUCUUAGGUCAUUUAUUUGGUGACUCUAUAUUCCAUUAAUAAAUGAACUCAUUGCAAUGAAUCUUUUUUUCUUAGAAUCACCUUCAUUGAGUCCCAGAUAUUUGAUAUGUUUUUUCUCUAUCUCAUUUACCUUGAAGUAUGUCUUUAUUUCACCCCUGAUUUCUUCUCUUGUCCAUUGGUCAUUCAAUAGCAUAAUAUUUAUUCUCCAAAUGUUAGGCUAGUUUCUAUUUUAUUAUUGAUUUUUAAUUUUGUUGCAUUAUGAUCUGAUAGAAUGCCAGGUAUUAUCUCUACUUUUUGUAUUUGCUAAGCAUUGUUUUGUGGAUUUAGAGAUGGUCUAUUUUACAAAUAAUCUGUGCUGCUGAGAAAAAAAAAGUAUAUUCAAUCAUUGAUGGAUGAAAGAUUUUAUAUAUGUCUAUUAAUUCUGAAUUAUUAAUUGUAUUUUUUUACUUCUAUAGCUUUUUAUUUAGGGUUUUUUUUUUUUUUGGAAGCUCUAUCCAGUGAUGAGAAAGUCAUGCUAAAGUCACCCAGUACUCUUAAUCACCUCAGCCAGCAAAACCAUUAGUACACACCUUUACAACUGUUCCCACCCCAGAGUUCCCAUUACCCUCCGCUGCUGUUUUUUGUUAAAAUUGCUUUCUUUUAAAAUUAAAACUUUUAUUCAUAUUUUUUUAAAAAAAUUUUUAGUUGUUGAUGGACCUUUGUUUUAUUUAUUUAUUUAUGUGGUGCUGAGAACCGAACCCAGUGCCUCACAUGUGUGAGGCAAGUGCUCUAAUGCUGAGCUACAGCCCCAGCCCCAAGAUUUUAUUCAUUUUUAAAAGAUUCAGUUUAUUGUCAUUAAGUACAUUCUCAAAACUCUGCACUUACCACCACUAUGUAGUUCCAGAACAUUCUCCUGAAUUGAGUAUCCAUAACCAUUCCCUCUCCCCUGGUCCCUUAGUCCCCAGCAACUCCUCAUCAUUCUAGCACUGUGAUAUGCCUAGGUGCACUUUUCAAAUCAGUGCAGCCUGAUUUCUCUUUGGCCACAUAAUGUUGAAAGGGACUGAUGAAGUUUCCUUAGUAGGGUAAAUGCCACACAGUCUAAGUUGAUUAUUUCAUUUUAUUGUUUUGGUACUAGGGGUUGAACCCUGGGGCACUUUAACACUGAGCUACAUCCCUGGUCCUUUUUCUUUUGAAUUUUGAGACAGGUUCUUGGUCAGUUGCUAAGGAUCUCUCUGAAUUCUAGGGCUGCCCUCAAACCUACAGUCAUCUUGCUCAAAGCAGUGUUAUUUGGAAAUUAGAAAAAAAUAACAUCUAUAUUCAGUGGCUGGAGAAUGGAAACAUCAGAUGUGUAACAGUUACACCAGGGAAGAUCAGACAACAGUGAAAUUAAUCAUGUCCAGCUUGAAGUCCACUUUAACUGAUAUGAUAGAAACCCCUGGUUGUUUUUGAGAUCCAUGUGAAUGAUAUGUUUUUUCCCAUCCUUUUAUCUUCAGUGUCUGGAUGUCUUUGCCUAUGAGGUCAGUCUCUUGUAGACAGCAUAUUGUUGGGUCAUGUUUUUUAAUCCAGUCUGCAAGCCAGUGUCUUUUGAUAGAUGCAUUUAAGCCAUUCAGAUUCAGUGUUAUUAUUGAAAAAUAAUUUUUAUUCCCUGUCAUUUGAUUUAUUUCUGGUUUUUAAUUUGAAUUAGUUUCUCUUUGAUUGACUAUUGUUUUAGUGUCCUCCCUUUGCAGGUUUUCAAUUUUAUCUUCAUUUCAUUUCAUUGUGCACAAAUGGAGCACAAUUUUCAUUUCUCUGGUGGUGCACAAUGUAGAGUCGCACCAUUUGUGAAAUCAUACGUGUACCUAGGGUAAUGAUGUUCAUCUCUUUCACCAUCUUUUCUACUCCCUGGCUCCCUCUCCUCCCCUCUUCCCCUUUGCCCAAUCCAAAGUUCCUUCAUUCUUCUUAUGCCCCCUAUCCCCUUUAUGGAUCAGCGUCCACUUAUUAGAGAGAACAUUCAGCCUUUGCUUUUUAGGGAUUGGGUUACUUCACCUAGCAUGCUAUUCUCCAACUCCUCCAUUUACCUACAAAUGCCAUAAUUUUAUUCUCCUUUAAUGCUGAGUAAUGUUCCAUGAGACUAAGAUACUCUAUUUCUGGUAUCUUGUUGAAAUCUGAGGUCAUUUUACAAGCAAGCCUUUCCCUCAAGUGGGGUGAAUUCUUCCAGAUUAGACAUGGAAGAAAAAGAGUGGGUUGUUUUGAGCAAUCCAUUGGAAGGAAGAAGCCAUACAAUAUUAAAUGCCUAAAAGGAGCCUAACUUUAUUUGCUCUCACUUAUUGCUGUAUGGCCAGCCCCCAAGGACAAAAUGUGACACAUGAACCAGCAAGACUGGGAGUGAAUGAGUGACUUCUGAGGGAAACUGAAAGUGGUUCCAUCUUCAUAGUGUUAUGGUUACUGCCUUUGAGUCAAGGAGACCCAGCCAUGAGUGAUGAGACCAGAGAUUGGGGUCCAUCCCAAGGGCUUCCAUGAGAGAUUUAUGCAUCUAUAGACCGAUUAUUCUUAGCUGAGUAACUGUAGCCUUGUUUCUCCUUGGGGUCGUGGGCACCCAUAUCUGUUCACUCUGUUGAUAUUUGCCUGGCUGCCUCAAUUGUUUCUUAAGCUCAUAUUCUGUUUUCGAGUGUAUUGUCUUCCUGCUCUCCUUCGUCCCACCUGGCUUUCUCCAGUGUUUGCUAUCUCAGUGAAACCCACAACCAUCCAUGCAGUUAUACAGGCCAGAAAUGUAGACGGCAGCCUGCGUGUAUCUCUCUCCACUUCCUAAUUAGUUCUCAGAUAUUCUAUGUUUUUCUGUCUUCCUCACCACCACCCUGCUCUGAGCUCCCCUCAUUCCUUGUUUGGAAGUUUGUGAGUGUGCUGGGCAGCUCUCUCUGCACCCACUCCACACCCUUCCCCAUGUGCAUCCUCCAGUUGCACCUGAGUGAUUUGGCCAAAAUGCAAAGUAGUUGAUUGACACCCUGCUUAAAGCCUGCUGGUGGCAUCUCACUGUUCCUAAGAGGAAGAUCAAACUCUCUCAGCUGCUCUACAAAUCCCUGGGGAUCUGGUCGCUGCUGUCUUCAGCUGCAUCACAUGCCACUCACUCCUGACUGUCUGUGUGUUCAUCUCACUGAGCAUUUAGAUCCUCCAACAGCGUGUUCUUACCCACUCUCUGUCUAGGACUCUCUUCUGCCUCCUAUUUAUCAGGUUAAUUCCUUCAGAAUUCUUGUUACUUUCUUGGGAAAGACAUCUCUAACCUUCAUCUCCACUCCUUUCCCAACAGGUUGUGGUAGACUCUCAAAGAAUCUGUUCUACUCAUUUGUUUAAGUUUAUAAUGAGACACUGGUAUGAUUAACAUCUGCCUUUCCAAGUGGAAUAUAAAUUCCACUUAAGCACAAAUUCUGUUUAGUUUAGCUCCUCUUUUAUCUUCAGGGGCCUAGCACAGUGCCUGGUACUCAAUAAAUCACUGAUUAAUGAUGAGUGAGUGAAUGAAUGAAUAGAGGUGUCCAGUUGCCUCUUGUAGUAGUUUAUGAUUUUUAAAUCUCAGCACUCUUAGUGUUUGGGGUGUGAUAAUUCUUUGUUAUGGGGGACUGUCUCCUGCAUACUGUAGAAGUUUUAACAACAUUCUUGAGCUCUAUCUCCUAGAUAGAGUGUGUUCUGUGUUGUGACAUGCCUCUGAACACGGCCAAGUGGUCCCUGAGGAGGAGAGGGAAUUGAGAACCAUUGUGGUAGUUGUAUGGAAUAUUCAAAAUAUUUUCUUGGUGUCUUCAGCUAAUCGGAUUCUUUGUUGUCCCCAAAUUGUCAGACCUCUAUCUACUGGAUGUCAGAGUCCUUCUUUAGUCAAUAGACCCAUCUGCCAACUAGGUCUCCUUUCUGGUGUCCCUCCCUGUGUGAUAAGAUACUUCCUGUAACACUGAUACUUGGCCACAUGAUUUGCUUUGGUCAAUGGACUUUUCAGUGGAUGUACAUGUCAUGCCUGAGCAGAAACCAUAGGAGCCAAGAGUGAUCCCAGUACUGUCCUUUUCCUUCUGUCUCAUGCCUGAGAAUGGCUGCCCCUCCUUCAGUUCUGGAAUAAUGGAGUUGGUUGUGACCACAGCAUAGCUUAGUGGAAGACAAUGGUUUAAACCUGAAGUGACUUGGCCAAUUCAAACUCACAAUGGGAUGGUAAUUGAUCUGGUUGUGUUCUCUGUUUGGGGGACAUGAAUAGGAGAAGAACAAUGAGAAGAUCACUCAGGCUCAAACUUCCAAAGUAUUUAUUCAGUUUCUUAAUUGGAUUUCAGGAGUUUGGCCACAGCAUGGUUGCUGACAUAAUUUUAUCUUAAUUCUCACCUCUUUAAGUGGAAGCAAUAAAGGAAUUAUAAGGCAAUCAAAGUAAAUAACUCCAUCCUCCAGAAAGAGAUAAGGGGAGGAAGAUUCGAAGUACAAAUGGAGAUAAUUAAUGCCAUGUAACUGUUAAGAGUGGAGAUUGUCCCUGGGCAGGGUGGUACAUGCCUAUAAUCUCAGUGACUCGGGAGGCUGAGGCAGGAAGAUUGCAGGUCAUCAACUUAGGAGACCCUGUCUCAAAAUUAAAACAAAAAAAAAGAGAAAGAAAAAAAGGACUAGGUAUGUAGCUUAGUAACAGAACACCAUUGGGUUCAAUCCCUAGUAUUGCAGGGGAACGAAUACUAUAGUCCAUGGAUGAAAAUUUUCCCUCUGCCUAUUGUAUAAAUAAAGUUUUAUUGGAAUACAGUUAUGUUCAUUCAUUUACUUAUUGUCCUUGGCUGCCUCUGCAUUACCAGGACAUAGAGAGUAGUUACAAUGAGACCAUAUGGCUUGCAAAGCUUAAAAUAUUUACCAGUUGGCCCUUUACAAAAAGAAAGUUUGCUGAGAGCCUGGGUUUGAGUCCCAGCUCCAACACUGACUGGCUGCAUGAUUGAGAAAGUCAUGUCCCCUCUCUGGGCUUCAAUUCAUCAAUCAAAUGGAGGGAGUAACAGGAACCACUCCCAUGGUUUUUCCUGUGAUUGCUUUGCACAUUGCCUGGCACCUAGGGUAUGCUUAAUAAUUAAUAGCUAUUUUUUCAUGUUAAAUUGAUUGUUUAUUGAUUCAUUCCACAAAUAUGCACAAGGUACUUGCCAUGUACCAGAUGGUCAUAUAGACAAUGUGAAAUUUCAGGUUGGACCAAUAUUAAAUUUUUACCCGCAAGGAAUUUACUUAGAAGUUCAGAAAAUGGAUAAUAAAAAACGAUGACUCUUAUUAGUAGCACUACAAAGAGUGAAUACCACCAUUAUGACUAAAAUGAAACCACUCUAUGGACCUAAGACAAGAAUAGGUACUUCUUUGGGGCUUGGCAGUAAGUUUUCUUCCUUCUCGCAGACACCAGGGCAGCUCCUAAGGAAACGUGUUUAUCUUGGAUGCAGCUGACAGAGGUGGCAUGGAUGGAGCUGAGCUGGUAGAGAGACCCCAUUUCUCAAACCCAGGUUUCUACACUGAAUUCAAAAGGAAACCUUAUCAAGCAGCCUUCCAGCUUGUUGUCAUCCAUCUUCCAAAGAAUUCAGUAGCCCUUGGUGGUUGAUGAUUUAUAGGACAGUGGCCAUGAGGAGGUUGCUUUUUGUAUUAGUCUGUAUUUUAUCAAAGAUCAGCAACCUGCUGGCUGGGGCCAGAAGUAGCAGGCUCUUUGUGGAAUCCAAUUAACCUCAGUCUUGGCUGCAGCCAACUCCAGGCCAGCAGAAGGCUGCUGGCCACUUAGGCAGAUGAAAGACUUUGAUCUGUCCAAGUUGGGAGUUCUAGCUGUUUAAAAUAGAGCUACCCUGUCUUAAUGACUGAAGAGUUCUGUCCCCAGGGACCUUGCAAUAUAUUUAAGAAAUAGAGAUGCACACAUAUGGAAUGUUAAUUAGCAAAACAAGGCUAUCUAUCGCAAAUAGCAAAUUCGUGGAAUGAACUAUACAAAAUGGUGCCUGUGGGAAUUCAGAGGUGGGCAUGUUAAUGGUAAGAGUAAUAAAGGAAUUUAGUGUCAUUUUAUUGAGCAUCUAUUGUGUUCCAGGCACUGUACUAAGCACUUUGUGUUCAUUCCAUUUUACAGGAAAUUGAGGCUGAGAGAAGCUGAAGGACUUGCACAAGGUCACACAGCUAGUAAGGGAUGAAGGGAGGAUUUGAUCCUGAGUUAGCUCACACAGCUAUGAAGUCUUAAUUACUUUGGAGAGUGCUUUUACACUCUAUGGCCACAGGCAACAGUGGUUUUGUUGGAAGAAUGGUGAGACUUAUGUAAAUUUUCUCUAAGUUGAUGACAUUUAAACUGGGUUUUGAUGUAUGAAUAAGAUUUCCAUAGUUGGAGAAAGAGAGAAGACACUCCUUACAGAAGAAACUUCCCCUGCAAAGCAUGUAUGGCUUGCCUUGAUUUCCCCCAUCUCUUCCUUUAUCUAUGUCCACCACAUCUGGUUGUAUUCAACAUGAGGGGGCCAAGCAAUGGUGUCCACUGGGGGAGGUUUCAUAUGGGAGAUUUGAUAAAAAGUGAUUGGGGAAGUUGUUCAUGUGCCUAUGGGAUAUUUCUCAUGAGAUGAUUCUGGUACAAUGAAUCAUUUGUUCCAUGUGGAGAUCAUGAUGGUCAGAUUAUAUUUAUAUUCUUUUGAUUUUUAAACCAUGAUACAGUUUCUAAGAGUCUGAUAAGUUGGGUUUUGCUUUUACCCUAUCUGGAAAAAUUGGGGUUUGCAGUCAGUAUGUCUGCUAACUAGUGGUUGAGCUAGCCCACCUGCUUUGUACACAAGUAGCCCCGCCCUGAGGGAAUGGGAAUGGACGGGGAUGGCGGGGAGGAAAUUGCUUACCUGGGAUUCUGAUGACAGUAAUUGAGACUAGCAAAGUAGCUUCCCUUUGUGUCCCUCAUAAAGGUAGAAAAAUUUGGAUGUAAACAUGAAAUUUUAAAAGUUAGUAGAAUGAAACAGACAUUAUUACUGUAUGUAUAUAUGUGACUACUGACCAACAUCAUUCUGCAACAUGUACACUCAGAAAAAUGAGAAAUUGCAUCCCAUCUAUGGAUGAUAUAUUAAAGUGCAUAAAUGCAAAAAAAGUUAAUAACUGAGAGAAAUUAUGAAUGGGUGUAUUAUACAGAGAGAGAAAGGUAAUAUUAUGUUAACACUUUGAAUGAGUCUCUAAACAAGAUAUGCUGUUGUGUCUCAGUUGCCUGGAAGGGUGAAGCCACAUAUGACUGAGGCCACUUCUGCUUUUAAAACCCAAGAUCAUUGGAAGCUUGCAAACCUGAGUGGUCUUGUCCUGGGAGACAUUUUGUACAUCCUAUGUGAUAAUGAGCUGGAAUGAUCAUUAAUGAUCCAGCAGGACUAUUAAUUUGCCAGUGUCUUUUUUGUGUGAAAAUGUAAGGCACUUCUGCAUAAUUGUUUUAUUUUUUCCACAUUUUUACUGGUACAUUAUAGUUGUACAUAAUAAUGGGAUUUGUUAACAUAUUUAUAUAAGCACACAAUAUAAUAAUAUAAUUUGGCAACAGUUCAUCCCUUUUCAUUGCUGUGUUGUAUUCCCAAGUAAUUCCUCCUUCCCUCUCCACUGUCCACCCCUUGGUAUUCCUACUGGCAUCUCUGGGAUUUUUAUGAGAUUUCUCUCCCACCACCAUUCUUUUCCUUUAUUUUUUCCUCUGAAGCUUCUGCAUUUGAGAUAAAUCAUAUGACUUUUUAUCUUCUGAGUUUGUCUUAUUUUUCUUAAGAUAGGGGUCUCAUAUU
rnacentral:lncRNA from 1 species